rnacentral:lncRNA from 1 species
GAAUUUUUUUAUGAAAGUCAAAUGUGUUUCUAGGUGGACAUGGCUAAAGUGAAGAUGGAUGUUAUGAAACCGUGGAUUGCAAAGCGCGUGACUGAGCUUAUUGGAUUUGAAGAUGAAGUUCUUAUUAAUUUCAUUUAUGGUCUACUUGAGGGAAAGGUAUCUCAAAACACUGACUUGUAUUGUUUACUUGUGUGAUUGUCAGUUAGCUGAUUUUAAUUGUUUGAUGAUUGAUUUAUUAUAAAUGUGAGUUAUUGAGCUUUGAGAAUGCAGAACUAUUUUUGACUUCUUAAUAUUAAAAAUUUAUAUCUACUCUAAACAUUUGACGGUGGUUAUGUUUUAAUAGGCAAGUGAGGCCAUUAAACUGUUAAGUUAAUUUUAGAGAAUGCUUCUGCUUUGGAUAACUGUUGGUGUGGAUAUGAUUGGGUGCAGGAAGUUAAUGGGAAGGCGGUUCAAAUUCAACUUACUGGUUUCAUGGAGAGAAACACUGGGAAGUUUAUGAAAGAGCUUUGGUCACUACUUCUGAGUGCACAGAAAAAUGUGAGUGGUGUUCCACAGCAGUUUCUGGAUGCUAAAGAGGAGGAAACUAAGAACAAGAAGGUCUACUCACGCUUCCUUAAGUUUUUGGAUCUUCUAUAUCUGUGGUGUGUCUUUGUUUAAUAAUAUGUCCAUGGGGUGUUACAGGCAGAGACUGAUCGUAUCGCAAAUGAAAUUCAAAGGAAGAAAGAGAAGGAAAAGCAGGAUCUUGAGCAAGAGAUAGAUAAAAUGGUAAUUGAAAACCCUUUUUUAUGCAAAAGUUAGA